GACGUCGAAUAUCGACGUCAUAAACACCAAAGUUGAUCGUGUUUAUGACGUCGAAUAUCGACGUCAUAAACACCAAAGUUGAUCGUGUUUAUGACGUCGAAUAUCGACGUCAUAAACACCAAAGUUGUUCGUGUUUAUGACGUCGAAUAUCGACGUCAUAAACACCAAAGUUGAUCGUGUUUAUGACGUCGAAUAUCGACGUCAUAAACACCAAAGUUGAUCGUGUUUAUGACGUCGAAUAUCGACGUC